AGUGAUUUUCUUGAUAAAAUUUCUAGUUAAUAGACUUUUUUGUUAACAUCCAUGUGGCCAUUGUCUUGUUCAUUUUUCACACUCCACAUUGAAAGGACAUCAAUCAAGGAAUGGUUUGUAAAAGGAACAAAAACAUCAUAUCAACCAUAUCAAUUCUUUUUUUCACGUCCAAUUAUUAUUAUGAUUUUUAUUAAGGAACAUUCUUUCAAAGGCUAACCAUGGAGUAAUUUAAUACCAGAGGAGGCUGAGAACAAAAGGAAGCAAAGCAAGACAAACUGAGUAAAGUCAUAAGGAAGUUAUGAGGAAUCUUAACCUUAAAUGGAUAAAGACACAUCAACUGAACAGAGAAACAAGUAAUCAACUAAUCAACCAACCAGUCAGCCAAACAAGUGAAAGAAAUGGAGGAAAAUUAGUCAAAAGUAGUGGAAAAAUAGUUUAGUUAACAAUUAUUGUAUGAAAAUCAGUGUAACAACAAAAUUUGGGUUUAUCUUGAUGAAUGUUUAAACACAAAAAGGCAUAAAAAAAUCUGAUGAAGUCAAGUCAAAUCUGGUUUCACCAUUUUAAGAUCAAAGAUCAUGCUGAGCAUUUAACCUUACAAUUUUUUUUCUUCAUAUUUAGCUUAACCCUUUCAAUUUACAUUCAUCUAUUUUUGCUCAUCAGAUCUUGUCAUCAUCAUCAUCAUUACAUAUUAUCAACAGUCAACCUUCAUUUACAAACGUUUCUUUCAAAUCUAUUACAGAUUGUCUUACAGCAAAGUCAA